GACGUAGGGCGCGAGCGUUGUCCGGAUUUAUUGGGCGUAAAGAGCUCGUAGGCGGCUUGUCGCGUCGAAUGUGAAAACUCGGGGCUCAACCCCGAGCUUGCAUUCGAUACGGGCAGGCUAGAGUUCGGUAGGGGAGACUGGAAUUCCUGGUGUAGCGGUGAAAUGCGCAGAUAUCAGGAGGAACACCGGUGGCGAAGGCGGGUCUCUGGGCCGAUACUGACGCUGAGGAGCGAAAGCGUGGGGAGCGAACAGG
rnacentral:rRNA from 1 species